rnacentral:rRNA from 1 species
GGCNUAAUACAUGCAAGUCGAGCGGGUCCUUCGGGACUAGCNGCGGACGGGUGAGUAACGCGUGGGAACGUGCCCUUUGGUACGGAACAACUGAGGGAAACUUCAGCUAAUACCGUAUGUGCCCUCUUCGGGGAAAGAUUUAUCGCCAUUGGAGCGGCCCGCGUUGGAUUAGGUAGUUGGUGAGGUAAAGGCUCACCAAGCCUACGAUCCAUAGCUGGUCUGAGAGGAUGACCAGCCACACUGGGACUGAGACACGGCCCAGACUCCUACGGGAGGCAGCAGUAGGGAAUCUUGCGCAAUGGGCGAAGCCUGACNCAGCCAUGCCGCGUGAAUGAUGAAGGUCUUAGGAUUGUAAAUUCUUUCACCGGGNACAUAUA